rnacentral:rRNA from 1 species
UACGUAGGGCGCAAGCGUUGUCCGGAAUUAUUGGGCGUAAAGAGCUCGUAGGCGGCCUGUUGCGUCCGCUGUGAAAUCCCGGGGCUCAACCCCGGGCCUGCAGUGGAUACGGGUUGGCUGGAGGCAGGCAGGGGAGAACGGAAUUCCUGGUGUAGCGGUGAAAUGCGCAGAUAUCAGGAGGAACACCGGUGACGAAGGCGGUUCUCUGGGCCUGUUCUGACGCUGAGGAGCGAAAGCGUGGGGAGCGAACAGG